CCGGCCGGCGCCACCGCUGUCCUCGCCCCCGUCCGCAGCGCCGGGAAGCUAGGGAAAGCGAGGCCGGGGAUGCGCAAGGGGCCCGGAGCAACGGAGGGUGGGGGGCAGUCUGCACAGCGUGUUCCUGUGGGGCUGCGGGGCGCGCAGGGUGCACGGUUUUCGGUGUGCGGUGAUGUGUUGGGAGGGUAUGGAUGGGGUGUGCACGCAUGUUGGGAGGCAGAAGUGUGUGUGCGCGCCGGGAAACGAGGUUCGUUGCCGGGAGCCAGUGCAGUAUCCUCUUCUCUGUACUCAGACGCUAAGACGCAUGUAGCACCUCCCUGCGCAUCGGUGCUACUCUGGACAAGGACGGUCCCACAGUCAGGACCCCAGAAGCUCCACAUCGCGGUCCCUUGGGGUUUACAGCCUCCCUGUCGUUAUGUUCACCCACCUCACUCUGCCUGGGCCUUUUUGCAAUCUCCUUGCUCCUGGGAUUGUCCCCUACUCCACUCCGGGGCCUCACCUGGCAACCCCCGCCCCCCUUACCUUCAUCCCACUAUAGCUUCCGUUUGGUUGGCCCCAGUUGUUUUAUGUCGCCAUGCUGAGGGUUUUACAGGACUUUCUAUUUCACUCCUUGCAACAAAUUCCAAGCAAGAGGCACUAUUGAUCUAUCAUCUGCAGAUAGAUGGCUUCCCUGGCAACUGCACAGUGGUCUCCAAGACCCUGCAUACCUGUGCCCGGUGUGACUGUGGUAACCACAGGCUGCCUGCUCGUUCUUUGACCUGGUGCUGAACACAGAGCACAUCUGAUACCCAAGUUCAUGCACACUGCUUCCCACCACUAAAACGGAGCAGCCUGGGUGUGCAGCGAGGGCUGGCCAAGUCCACAAACCGAUUUAGCCAUGUUGUGGAAUAUGGCUCAGCCUUGAGGAGGAGUGACCGUCUGACCCACACAACAGCAUGGAUGGCCCAAGGACACUGUGCUCAGCAAAAUAACCCAGGCACUGCACGCCUCAUGCAUGAGGUUUUGCCCUCAUCAGCUGCACAGAGCGAGGAGCUGUGGUGCCCAGGCUGGGGGCCUUCCUGGUGGAAACAGUCUCACAACACAUUGAAUAUUCUUCCUGCAGCUAAAUUGUACUUAAGAAUGAUUAGAAUGGUAAAUUUUAUGUUGUGUUCUUUACCACAAUAAAUAUUUAAUUUAAAAAAAUGGGUUCCUUAGUUCCUCAGCAUAACAGGGUAUGGCUGGACAGAGAUCAGCCUCACAGCCACACUGUGAAGCUGCUGGGCAACAAAUGCCGAGCUGAUCAAACCCUUCGAGGCUUCAGUUAGGUCCGUUGUUGGCUACAAAUUCCCAUGGCUGCACACUUUCUUACACACGCACACACACACACAUCACUGCACCAAACUCUGAUUGUGAAGAAUGCUAGUUAUGUCUCAAAGCCCUUUAGUUACCAAAUUUUCCUUUUUUGAGAAAAAUCAGGUUGGUGAUACGAAGGCCUUCUACCAUGUGGCUCUAUGCCCUGGAGCUGGCAUCAUGCCAUCUUAUUCCUGGAUACACGAGGCAGAGAGCUCAGAGCUCCCCACUGCACCCUCAGAUCCCUUUCUUCCCUGGCUCACAUCCUCCUUGGAGCCUCCCACCACCACCACUUUCAGAGCCACCAGCAAACACACCAUGACCUGUGACCCUGCAUUUAGUUGUUUUGCCUCUUUUUAUAUUUCUAUCUUCAUUUUAAACCAGUAAUAAAGUGUAGUAAUUUGAGAAGAAAUUGGAGCUGAAAUGCUCAGCUGGGUGUGGUGACACACACCUGUAAUCCCAGCACUUGGGAGGCUGAGGCAGGAGGAUCUUCAGGAGUUUGAGGCCAGCCUGAACUACUACAUAGGUAGACCCUGAAGAAAAAGGAGAGAGAGAGAGAGAGAGAGAGAGAGAGAGAGAGAGAGAGAGAGAGAGAGAGAG
ensembl:lincRNA